GAUGAACGCUGGCGGCGUGCCUAAUACAUGCAAGUCGAACGAAGAUCUAGCUUGCUAGAUCUUAGUGGCGAACGGGUGAGUAAUACAUAAAUAAUCUGCCCAUAUGACUGGGAUAACUAUUGGAAACGAUAGCUAAUACCGGAUAGGUUGAUCGGAGGCAUCUCUGAUGAAUUAAAGUAGGAUUUCUACACAAAUGGAUGAGUUUAUGGCGCAUUAGUUAGUUGGUGGGGUAACGGCCUACCAAGACGAUGAUGCGUAGCCGACCUGAGAGGGUGACCGGCCACACUGGGACUGAGACACGGCCCAGACUCCUACGGGAGGCAGCAGUAGGGAAUUUUCGGCAAUGGGCGCAAGCCUGACCGAGCAACGCCGCGUGAGUGGUUAAGGCCUUCGGGUUGUAAAGCUCUGUUGUAAGGGAAGAACAUUCAGGAUAGGAAAUGNUCUUGAACUGACGGUACCUUACCAGAAAGCCACGGCUAACUACGUGCCAGCCGCCGCCGUAA
rnacentral:rRNA from 1 species